GACGAACGCUGGCGGCGUGCUUAACACAUGCAAGUCGAACGGAAAGGCCCUGCUUGCAGGGUACUCGAGUGGCGAACGGGUGAGUAACACGUGGGUGAUCUGCCCUGCACUUCGGGAUAAGCCUGGGAAACUGGGUCUAAUACCGGAUAGGAGCCAUUUUUAGUGUGAUGGUUGGAAAGUUUUUUCGGUGUAGGAUGAGCUCGCGGCCUAUCAGCUUGUUGGUGGGGUAAUGGCCUACCAAGGCGGCGACGGGUAGCCGGCCUGAGAGGGUGGACGGCCACAUUGGGACUGAGAUACGGCCCAGACUCCUACGGGGGGCAGCAGUGGGGAAUAUUGCACAAUGGGCGCAAGCCUGAUGCAGCGACGCCGCGUGGGGGAUGACGGCCUUCGGGUUGUAAACUCCUUUCGCUAGGGACGAAGCUUUUUGUGACGGUACCUAGAGAAGAAGCACCGGCUAACUACGUG
rnacentral:rRNA from 1 species